rnacentral:tRNA from 1 species
AGUAAUAUGGCUGAGUUAAAAGUAAUAAAUUGUAAAUUUAUUUAUAGAAAUUGAUUUUCUUGUUACUA